rnacentral:pre_miRNA from 1 species
AUUUAAAAUUUUUAUUCAUUUGUAUUAUUAAAAAUUAAUGUGACAGAUGGAAUAAUUAAAUAAUAACAUGUGACGUGUCACAUGUACCUCAUAUUGAUGUACAAGUCCAAUUUUUAACAAUAGAAAUGGAUGAAAUAUUUAACA